rnacentral:rRNA from 1 species
UACACUCCUACGGGAGGCAGCAGUGGGGAAUCUUGCGCAAUGGGCGAAAGCCUGACGCAGCCAUGCCGCGUGAAUGAUGAAGGUCUUAGGAUUGUAAAAUUCUUUCACCGGGGACGAUAAUGACGGUACCCGGAGAAGAAGCCCCGGCUAACUUCGUGCCAGCAGCCGCGGUAAUACGAAGGGGGCUAGCGUUGCUCGGAAUUACUGGGCGUAAAGGGAGCGUAGGCGGACAUUUAAGUCAGGGGUGAAAUCCCGGGGCUCAACCUCGGAAUUGCCUUUGAUACUGGGUGUCUUGAGUAUGAGAGAGGUGUGUGGAACUCCGAGUGUAGAGGUGAAAUUCGUAGAUAUUCGGAAGAACACCAGUGGCGAAGGCGACACACUGGCUCAUUACUGACGCUGAGGCUCGAAAGCGUGGGGAGCAAACAGGAUUAGAUACCCGAGUAGUCCCAUGA